AGCGAACGCUGGCGGCAGGCCUAACACAUGCAAGUCGAACGAAGUCUUCGGACUUAGUGGCGGACGGGUGAGUAACACGUGGGAACGUGCCUUUAGGUUCGGAAUAACUCAGGGAAACUUGUGCUAAUACCGAAUGUGCCCUUCGGGGGAAAGAUUUAUCGCCUUUAGAGCGGCCCGCGUCUGAUUAGCUAGUUGGUGAGGUAAAGGCUCACCAAGGCUACGAUCAGUAGCUGGUCUGAGAGGAUGGCCAGCCACAUUGGGACUGAGACACGGCCCAAACUCCUACGGGAGGCAGCAGUGGGGAAUCUUGCGCAAUGGGCGAAAGCCUGACGCAGCCAUGCCGCGUGGAUAAUGAAGGUCUUAGGAUUGUAAAAUCCUUUCACCGGUGAAGAUAAUGACUGUAGCCGGAGAAGAAGCCCCGGCUAACUUCGUGCCAGCAGCCGCGGUAAUAC
rnacentral:rRNA from 1 species